rnacentral:rRNA from 1 species
UUACCUGGUUGGAACUGCCAGUAGUCAUAUGCUUGUCUCAAAGAUUAAGCCAUGCAUGUCUACGUACAUGCCGAAAUAAGGUGAAACCGCGAAUGGCUCAUUAAAUCAGUUAUGGUUCCUUAGAGAGUUUCUAUUACUUGGAUAACUGUGGCAAUUCUAGAGCUAAUACAUGCUGUGAACUCCGAGCUCUUUGAGUUAAGAGUGCUUUUAUUAGACCAAGAUCAAUCGGACCUCGGCCCGAUGUGUGUGGUGACUCUGAGUAACUUUUGCUGAUCGCACGGCCUUGCGCCGGCGACAAUUCUUUCAAGUGUCUGCCUUAUCAACUGUCGAUGGUAGGUUAUGCGCCUACCAUGGUCGUUACGGGUAACGGAGAAUCAGGGUUCGAUUCCGGAGNAGGGGAGCCUANNNNNNNNNNNNNNNAUCCAAGGAAGGCAGCAGGCGCGCAAAUUACCCACUCCCGGCNCGGGGAGGUAGUGACGAAAAAUAACAAUACGGGACUCUAUUGAGGCCCCGUAAUUGAAAUGAGUACACUCUAAAUCCUUUAACGAGGAUCAAUUGGAGGGCAAGUCUGGUGCCAGCAGCCGCGGUAAUUCCAGCUCCAAUAGCGUAUACUAAAGUUGUUGCGGUUAAAAAGCUCGUAGUUGGAUCUCAGUUUUAGACCGGAUGUGUAUCUAACAGAUACGACGGCCGGUACUGAACAUUAUACCCGCUGUUUCUUGGUCCCCUUUACUGGGUGCCUUGAAGUGGCCGGUGCAUUUACUUUGAAAAAAUUAGAGUGCUCAACGCAGGCGAAUCGCCUGAAUAAUAGUGCAUGGAAUAAUAGAACAAGACCUUGUUCCUGUUCUGUUGGUUUUAGGGAAACGAGGUAAUGAUUAAGAGGGACAGACGGGGGCAUUCGUAUUGCGGCGCUAGAGGUGAAAUUCUUGGACCGUCGCAAGACGAACUACUGCGAAAGCAUUUGCCCAGANNNNUUUCAUUGAUCAAGAACGAAAGUUAGAGGUUCGAAGGCGAUCAGAUACCGCCCUAGUUCUAACCAUAAACGAUGCCAACCAGCGAUCCGCCUGAGUUCCUAAAAUGACUCGGCGGGCAGCUUCCGGGAAACCAAAGUAUCUGGGUUCCGGGGGAAGUAUGGUUGCAAAGCUGAAACUUAAAGGAAUUGACGGAAGGGCACCACCAGGAGUGGAGCCUGCGGCUUAAUUUGACUCAACACGGGAAAACUUACCCGGCCCGGACACUGGAAGGAUUGACAGAUUGAGAGCUCUUUCUUGAUUCGGUGGAUGGUGGUGCAUGGCCGUUCUUAGUUGGUGGAGCGAUUUGUCUGGUUAAUUCCGAUAACGAACGAGACUCUAGCCUAUUAAAUAGGUGCGAGGUUCAAUGCACCUUGCAACCUUCUUAGAGGGACAAGCGGCUUCUAGCCGCACGAAACAGAGCAAUAACAGGUCUGUGAUGCCCUUAGAUGUCCGGGGCCGCACGCGCGCUACACUGAAGGAUACAGCGUGUAUUUAUCCCUGUCUGAAAAGACUGGGUAACCCGUGGAACCUCCUUCGUGAUUGGGAUAGGGGCUUGAAACUGUUCCCCUUGAACGAGGAAUUCCCAGUAAGCGCGAGUCAUAAGCUUGCGUUGAUUACGUCCCUGCCCUUUGUACACACCGCCCGUCGCUACUACCGAUUGAAUGAUUUAGUGAGGUCUUCGGACUGAAACCCGGAGAGACCAGUGGUUGCGCCGGUGUAACGGAAAGAUGACCAAACUUGAUCAUUUAGAGGAAGAAAAGUCGAACAAGUUCC